rnacentral:rRNA from 1 species
GAUGAACGCUGGCGGCGUGCCUAAUACAUGCAAGUCGAGCGAACAGACGAGGAGCUUGCUCCUCUGACGUUAGCGGCGGACGGGUGAGUAACACGUGGAUAACCUACCUAUAAGACUGGGAUAACUUCGGGAAACCGGAGCUAAUACCGGAUAAUAUAUUGAACCGCAUGGUUCAAUAGUGAAAGACGGUUUUGCUGUCACUUAUAGAUGGAUCCGCGCCGCAUUAGCUAGUUGGUAAGGUAACGGCUUACCAAGGCAACGAUGCGUAGCCGACCUGAGAGGGUGAUCGGCCACACUGGAACUGAGACGCGGACCAGACUCCUACGGGAGGCAGCAGUAGGGAAUCUUCCGCAAUGGGCGAAAGCCUGACGGAGCAACGCCGCGUGAGUGAUGAAGGUCUUCGGAUCGUAAAGCUCUGUUAUUAGGGAAGAACAAAUGUGUAAGUAACUAUGCACGUCUUGACGGUACCUAAUCAGGAAGCCACGGCUAACUACGUG